rnacentral:rRNA from 1 species
GGUACCGUCAGGCCUAACGUGUAUUAUACGUUAGGAGGUUCUUCCCCUCUGACAGAGCUUUACGACCCAAGAGCCUUCAUCACUCACGCGGUAUUGCUGCGUCAGGCUUUCGCCCAUUGCGCAAAAUUCCCCC